AUUGAACGCUGGCGGCAGGCCUAACACAUGCACGUCGAGCGGAGCGGCGGAAGGGUGAGUAAUGCCUAGGAAUCUGACUGGUAGCGGGGGAGAAAGUCCGGAAACGGGAGCUAAUAACGCCUCCUCUCUGAUGAACCUAGGACGGAUUGGCUAUUUGGUGGGGUAAAGGCCUACCAAGGCGAAGAACCGAAACUGGUCUGAGCGGAUGAUCAGUCACACUGGAACUGAGACACUGUCCAGACGCCGACGGGAGGCAGCAGUGGGGAAUAUUGGACAAUGGGCGAAAGCCUGAUCCAGCCAUGCCGCGUGUGUGAAGAAGGUCUUCGGAUUGUAAAGCACUUUAAGUUGGGAGGCGUUACCAACAGAAUAAGCACCGGCUAACUUCGUGCCAGCAGCCGCGGUAAUUC
rnacentral:rRNA from 1 species